GUACUUACUCCUACGGGAGGCAGCAGUGGGGAAUUUUGGACAAUGGGCGAAAGCCUGAUCCAGCCAUGCCGCGUGAGUGAAGAAGGCCUUCGGGUUGUAAAGCUCUUUCAGCCGGAAAGAAAUCGCGCAGGAUAAUACUCUGCGUGGAUGACGGUACCGGAAGAAGAAGCACCGGCUAACUACGUGCCAGCAGCCGCGGUAAUACGUAGGGUGCGAGCGUUAAUCGGAAUUACUGGGCGUAAAGCGUGCGCAGGCGGUUAUGUAAGACAGAUGUGAAAUCCCCGGGCUCAACCUGGGAACUGCGUUUGUGACUGCAUAACUAGAGUACGGCAGAGGGAGGUGGAAUUCCGCGUGUAGCAGUGAAAUGCGUAGAUAUGCGGAGGAACACCGAUGGCGAAGGCAGCCUCCUGGGCCAGUACUGACGCUCAUGCACGAAAGCGUGGGGAGCAAACAGGAUUAGAAACCCGAGUAGUCCAGGCAU
rnacentral:rRNA from 1 species